rnacentral:rRNA from 1 species
GUCGUGCGCGAAAGGGUAGCAAUACCUGAGUAAAGCGGCGAACGGGUGAGUAACACGUGGUUAACCUAUCGGGAUGUGGGGGAUACCCCGGGGAAACUCGGGACAAUACCGCAUACGUUCUCUCGGGCGCGAGCCUGGGAGAAGAAAGCCGGGGACCGCAAGGCCUGGCGCAGCCUGAGGGGACCGCGGCCGAUUAGCUAGUUGGCGGGGUAACGGCCCACCAAGGCAACGAUCGGUAGCCGGCCUGAGAGGGUGAUCGGCCACACCGGAACUGAGACACGGUCCGGACUCCUACGGGGGGCAGCAGUGGGGAAUUUUGCGCAAUGGGCGAAAGCCUGACGCAGCAACGCCGCGUGGAGGAUGAAGGUGCUUUGCAUUGUAAACUCCUGUCGGCCGGGAAGAAUGGGCGGGGUGCUAAUCAGCCCCGUUUUGACUGUACCGGCAAAGGAAGCCCCGGCUAACUCCGUGCCAGCAGCCGCGGUAAUACGGAGGGGGCAAGCGUUACUCGGAAUUAUUGGGCGUAAAGGGCGCGUAGGCGGUCCUGUGCGUCGGAGGUGAAAUCCCCGGGCUUAACCCGGGAACCGCCUCCGAUACGGCAGGACUUGAGUCCGGGAGAGGGGAGCAGAAUUCCCAGUGUAGCGGUGAAAUGCGUAGAUAUUGGGAGGAAUACCGGUGGCGAAGGCGGCUCCCUGGACCGGUACCGACGCUGAGGCGCGAAAGCGUGGGUAGCAAACAGGAUUAGAUACCCUGGUAGUCCACG